GACGAACGCUGGCGGCGUGCUUAACACAUGCGAGUCGAACGGAAAGGCCCUGCUUUUGUGGGGUGCUCGAGUGGCGAACGGGUGAGUAACACGUGAGUAACCUGCCCUUGACUUUGGGAUAACUUCAGGAAACUGGGGCUAAUACCGGAUAGGAGCUCCUGCUGCAUGGUGGGGGUUGGAAGGUUUCGGCGGUUGGGGAUGGACUCGCGGCUUAUCAGCUUGUUGGUGGGGUAGUGGCUUACCAAGGCUUUGACGGGUAGCCGGCCUGGGAGGGUGACCGGCCACAUUGGGACUGAGAUACGGCCCAGACUCCUACGGGAGGCAGCAGUGGGGAAUAUUGCACAAUGGGCGGAAGCCUGAUGCAGCAACGCCGCGUGCGGGAUGACGGCCUUCGGGUUGUAAACCGCUUUCGCCUGUGACGAAGCGUGAGUGACGGUAAUGGGUAAAGAAGCACCGGCUAACUACGUG
rnacentral:rRNA from 1 species